rnacentral:snRNA from 1 species
CAGGUUUUAGCCAUUUGGG